CAGUCGCCGCGGUAAUACAGAGGGUGCGAGCGUUAAUCGGAUUUACUGGGCGUAAAGCGUGCGUAGGCGGCUUUUUAAGUCGGAUGUGAAAUCCCUGAGCUUAACUUAGGAAUUGCAUUCGAUACUGGGAAGCUAGAGUAUGGGAGAGGAUGGUAGAAUUCCAGGUGUAGCGGUGAAAUGCGUAGAGAUCUGGAGGAAUACCGAUGGCGAAGGCAGCCAUCUGGCCUAAUACUGACGCUGAGGUACGAAAGCAUGGGGAGCAAACAGGAUUAGAUACCCCGGUAGUCCCUGUCUCUUACAC
rnacentral:rRNA from 1 species